rnacentral:rRNA from 1 species
GACGAACCGUGCGAACGUUAUUCGGAAUCACUGGGCUUAAAGCGCGUGUAGGCGGAAGGGCACGUCCGUUGCUGAAAUCCCCCGGCUCAACCGGGGAACGGGCACGGAUACGACUCUUCUGGAGGGGCGUAGGGGGACCUGGAACUUCCGGUGGAGCGGUGAAAUGCGUUGAGAUCGGAAGGAACGCCCGUGGCGAAAGCGAGGUCCUGGACGCCUACUGACGCUGAGACG